rnacentral:rRNA from 1 species
AACGAACGCUGGCGGCAGGCCUAACACAUGCAAGUCGAACGGACGUAGCAAUACGUCAGUGGCGGACGGGUGAGUAACACGUGGGAAUAUGCCUUUCGGUUCGGAACAACUCGGGGAAACCCGCGCUAAUUCCGGAUACGCCCUUACGGGAAGGAUUUAUCGCCGAAGAUUAGCCGCGUCCGAUUAGCUAGUUGGUGAGGUAAAGGCUCACCAAGGCACCGAUCGGUAGCUGGUUUGUAGAGAACGACCAGCCACACUGGGACUGAGACACGGCCC